rnacentral:rRNA from 1 species
GACGAACGCUGGCGGCGUGCCUAAUACAUGCAAGUAGAACGCUGAGGCUUGGUGCUUGCACCGAGCGGAUGAGUUGCGAACGGGUGAGUAACGCGUAGGUAACCUGCCUGGUAGCGGGGGAUAACUAUUGGAAACGAUAGCUAAUACCGCAUAAAAUGGAUUAUCGCAUGAUAAUCCAUUGAAAGGUGCAAAUGCAUCACUACCAGAUGGACCUGCGUUGUAUUAGCUAGUUGGUGGGGUAACGGCUCACCGAGGCGACGAUACAUAGCCGACCUGAGAGGGUGAUCGGCCACACUGGGACUGAGACACGGCCCAGACUCCUACGGGAGGCAGCAGUAGGGAAUCUUCGGCAAUGGACGGAAGUCUGACCGAGCAACGCCGCGUGAGUGAAGAAGGUUUUCGGAUCGUAAAGCUCUGUUGUAAGAGAAGAACGAGUGUGAGAGUGGAAAGUUCACACUGUGACGGUAUCUUACCAGAAAGG